UUUUCCCUGGCGGGUCUGGCAUCUCUGCGAAUACAUUUUUGUCAAUUCUCAGUAAUGUAAUCCAUAAGAUGGGCAAAAGGAGUAAAUCAAAAACUCCCAGAGAGAUGCAAGAUAAUACGGCUGCUGUAGAAGAGGAAAAACCAUCAUCUUCGGCCAAGAAAUUGCUGAAUCACUGGGUUAAACCCAGAAACUACCAUCGAUAUUUGCAGUUGUGGUAGUUUCGAAUGCUCGAACCCUUAGGGAAUGGAUUUCGUCAUCUCUCGGGCCUGAUGCAGUUGCAAAGCAUAUGGUAGCAGUCAGCACUAAU